CGCUAUGCUGGACGCAUACUUCCAGAAGAUUCGUCCAGGAUGUCUGCAGGACAGUCAGGACGACCAGGGCAGAUUUUUCCUGUCCAAACAAGGGCUGCCAGUUGGCAACAUCACGAGUGACCUCAGGCGUCUGCAUGAACAGUAUGAUUUACCGAGCUUUUCGAGCCAGCAAGCCAGAAGAGCCCAAAUUACUACGGCAUGCUCUUCUUCUGAUGAGCCUGGCCGAUGAGAGGGGGGUGCGGAAGCAGAAGAGAGGAAGAGGCCCAGCUGACCAGGAUGACCGGGACUUUGGAGCUUUUCUCCUGAAGUUUCCAGCGGAGGCGAGUAGCACCCCGCCCACAAAGAAGAAGCGGACCGCUGCGGGGUUUCCACCUGACAGAAUGUUUUAUGACAGGUGGAGGUCUGUGCAGUUGGCCAAGCGGGAGGAGCUCCUCUUGUCCCAGUGUUCAAGACGGCCCCCCUCUGUCAGCAAGGUGUCACUGCUGAUCCAAAAAGAGGGUUGGACCGGCAACUGUCCUCGCCCCGAGGAUGUAGUGGCAAAGUGGAGGCCCGUCACUAGGGUGCAGGUGGAGUCAGAUCCAUGGAUCAUCACCGCUAUCCAGAACCAAAAGUGGACAGGCCUGGCCCUCAAGGACUUUGGCACAAAAGGACAUGGAGUUGUUGCCACCAAACCCUUUGCCAUGGGCUCCAUCGUUUGUGAUUACCAUGGCAAGGUAAUCACAGGAGCAGAGGGCCGGAAGUUGGUCGAGUCCAUCAAGGGUGACAUGGCCUACCUCGUCUUUUUCCACGCUGCUGGUCGGGACCUCUGUGUGGAUGCUGAGACUUUCCCCUGUGAGUGUCACCCUACAGAAAACACCAUGGGCCGGAGGAUCAAUCAUUCCUCCAAGAGAGCAAACCUGAGGCCAGUCCACUGCGUGAUGAACUUCCCUGAAGGACAGAGGGAUGUCAUCCUGUUCCAGGCAAAAAGAGACAUUAAUUUAUGUGAGGAGCUGCUAUUUGAUUACGGCGUCAAACGCAAAUCUUUUCGAGGAGAAGCAACAAACCUCGACUGGCUGGAUAAGUGAACACAUCAGGCCAUUCAUUCACCAGUUCAAGUCCAAGGCCAAGACUGAUGGACCAUACGGACCACAAACAUAUUUGCACUCUUAAAAAAUAUAUACAUGUUGUUUGCACAUUUUUUUACACCGUUUUCAAUUGUAUUAUGUACAUAACAGACAAUAAAGAUUCUAUUCUAUGCACAAAAACAGCUAAUCAUUUCUUUGAAGCUUCUUGGUCUGAGACAAUGGUACACACAUUUAAAGAUUACCCUUUCUAUGUAAUAUUUCUAAUCUAGAUUAGAAUUUCUAGAUUUGAAGACUAAUAAAUUAUACUAAUUAUAUUAAUUAUUUUGAAGACUAAUAAAGAAAAUGUGCAUUGCCCCUUUUAAAAUAAAUAAUAAUAAAAAAAGAAUAGGUAGUUAGAAAAUAAAAUAGUUCUAAAAUAAACUAUGUAAAAUUUGUUGAGACCAGGAUAACAAUGCAUCCCCUGGCGAGAUAUAUAGUUAACAUUUUUAUACUUCAUGUUGUCAUAAAGAUGCUCCUUUGUUAUAAGACACACAGUUUCACACAUUUUCAAGAGUUGACCUGCAAAUUACCCCUGCCCCCACCAGCCACCUCUAAAUGGUGUGCACUCUAAAGUCAGCCUGUACUGAGGAUCAAAGUUUAUCAACACUAUCAUUCAGAAUUUUGUGAAUCUUUAACAGCAGGAAUUACACCCUCUGGCCUCACUGCAGGAAGCCGCCGAGCUCUCUUCCUGGGCAUCUGAGAACGUGUCUGCAUGUGUGGAAGAAGAUUCAGCCCAUUUUUGGAGGCUGAUGAUCCAAUUGUCAGUGGAAAAGAUUAGGAUGGGCUUGGUGGUGAGAAACAUACCUUCACUCCUUCCUGCAGCAUCUUCUGUUCCUCAGAGCUCCUCGAGAUGCUGAGAGCAAGCCACAUUUUGAGCCAGAAACGGAGCCAGCAUCUGGAAA